GCCUGAUCCAGCCAUGCCGCGUGUGUGAAGAAGGCCUUUUGGUUGUAAAGCACUUUAAGCGAGGAGGAGGCUACUUGGAUUAAUACUCUAGGAUAGUGGACGUUACUCGCAGAAUAAGCACCGGCUAACUCUGUGCCAGCAGCCGCGGUAAUACAGAGGGUGCGAGCGUUAAUCGGAUUUACUGGGCGUAAAGCGUGCGUAGGCGGCUUNUUAAGUCGGAUGUGAAAUCCCUGAGCUUAACUUAGGAAUUGCAUUCGAUACUGGGAAGCUAGAGUAUGGGAGAGGAUGGUAGAAUUCCAGGUGUAGCGGUGAAAUGCGUAGAGAUCUGGAGGAAUACCGAUGGCGAAGGCAGCCAUCUGGCCUAAUACUGACGCUGAGGUACGAAAGCAUGGGGAGCAAACAGGAUUAGAUACCCUGGUAGUCCAUGCCGUAAACGAUGUCUACUAGCCGUUGGGGCCUUUGAGGCUUUAGUGGCGCAGCUAACGCGAUAAGUAGACCGCCUGGGGAGUACGGUCGCAAGACUAAAACUCAAA
rnacentral:rRNA from 1 species